rnacentral:sRNA from 1 species
GUUGUUAUAAAGUGUACACAUCAGAAACAUACUGAUACCUAUCAAAUAUGCGAUCAGUCAAUUGCGAAGUUGGAACUACCGAGUUUCUUAUAUGUAUUUAGUCUUUAAUCUCCAUCAGAGUAAAAGUCAAACUAUAGAAAGUGAAGCUUGCACUGGAUCUCCUCCACAGGCCGUGGAGCAUCUGUGCUUCCCAAUGUUCCCAAUGUCAGUCCUCGACCCAGCAAAAUUUCUGUCAGAUCAUGUAUGUAUGUAUGUAUAUGUAUAUAUUUCCAUUUUAAGAUUUAGCAAUUAAAUUGGGAUUAGUUUUCUAUUUCAGAUACGUUUUAGAGUGUGCAAAGAAAUGCAAAUAAAGAAA